UCAACUCAAGCUAAUGCCCUAGGGGGAAGCUAGGUCAAGCUUUAGCGGCAACUGAAAUCAAAGGAACAAUAGCGAGAGUAGGGAAACAUCCUGCAGAAAUAGGGUUUCAGAUGACACAGCUUUGCAAUCAAUUGUGUGAGGUUCAGAAGGUCAUUUGCUAGAGAUAGUGGUGGUGUUAGAUAUCCUACCGCAAAAGGCACGCCAGUGAAAUCCAGAUUGGUUUUGGGCAAAGAGAAGGAAAAAGAGUGAAAGAAGGUUAUUCAAUCUCCGAAAAUUACAAAUAGUCUAUCAUUGGCAGAUGAAGUAAAGUAGUGAAUGAAACAACUGGUAAGCCUUUUGCAACCAAUGUGAACUUUGUGAUCAAGGGAUCUGUAUGGGAUAACUUUGUUAUCUCUAAAAUUUCAAAUGCUGGAUUUAAAUUGGAGUAUGUCAAGAUAGAAAUAAAAAAGGAAAGCUGAUUUCUAAAAUUGAUGCAGAUGAUAUCAGUACAAAAGUUGAUUACUGAAAACACUCAGUAGUAUGUUAAUAUUUUGGGGGCACAUCCCCCUUUUUCACUGCUUAUUGGGUAUUUUCAAAGGCAAUGAGAGAAGUAUGAUAUUAAUAAGAUAGAUAUGAUGAAGAAUGACAUUGUCUUAAUUAGGUUUGAAACUACUGAGAGUCAAAGUAAGGUAUUACAAGGUAGGAUUAAUCAUUUUAAUAGUAAACCUUUUAUUGUUAAAGUAUGGAGUCCAAAACUGGAGUUCACUAAAGAAUCGUUGUCUGUUCCAAUAAAGAUUAAGAUGCCUGGACUGCAUUUCAAAUAUUUAAGUGCUAAAAGGCACUUAAUAUUGGUAUUUUGGUAAGGAAACCAUUGAUAAUUGAUAAACAUACUAAAAAGAAGGUUGGACUAACUUUGCAAGGUUAUUAGUGGAAAUAAAGAUUGGUGCAUCAUUGCCGGAGUGUAUCUACUUCAGGAAUGAAAAGGGGAAACUAAUUGAGUAGAAGGUGACAUAUUAUUGACAUCCUCUAUUAUGUAAGGUUUGUCAGAAGUCUGGUCAUAAAGAGGAUAUAUGUAGGAAGAAGAGAACUAAACUGAUGCAAGUCAGGAACUCUAAAGAAGGGAAAAACUAGUAAAAUGCAGGUGAUGAUAGAGCAGGGUUCAGCAUCUCAAGUUCAAGAGCCUGAUGCAUUGAAGAAUAAGCCAAAUGAGUGGAAUAGAGGUGGAAAAGGAAAAUUGACCAAAACUAUUGGCUAGAACAACCUAAUAAGGAUGGUAAUGUGACUACUACUAUCAUGACUGUCAACACUUAUAAAGCACUAACUGCAAACAAAGGAGUAUAAGCACCUCUAAAGAGACAGUUAAGGAUGGACAUAAUGAUACUAUGUUCCUAUCUGGGAAUAGUUAAAAUGCUUUGUUGAAAGGUUAGAAAUCUUAAUGGAUAAAUAAGUAAUAGGAGAUCAAGCUCUUCUAUAGUAAAUGAAUGUUGGAUUGAUGGAAUUUCUGGAAACAAAGGUUAAGGUGAAUAGAAUAAGUCAAAUAAUUAGUACUAUGUGUGGAGGAUAGAAGUGUAAUAGCAAUGAUGCCUCUCAUUAUAAUAGAAGGAUAUUAUUAAUAUGGAGAUUAGACUGGUUUGAAUUUACAUUGAGAGUGGAUCUACCUAAACAAUAGCCUACCUGGUGGAGUAUAUUCCUAAGCAACUCAUAUUUGUGACCGCUUUUGUCUAUACUUUCAACACAAAGGAAGAAAGAAAGAGUCUAUGGAAUUACCUUAAGGAAUAUUGGUAGUUUUCAAAUACCUUGAAUUAUUUUAGGAGAUUUUAAUAAUGUCUUACAUGAUGAUGACAGGAAAGGAGGGGUGCCAAUUUUAUUUGCUGAAGUAUAUGAUUUUCCGAAUUGACUUGAGUAUUAUAGUUUAACAGAGCUACUUAAUGGCUGCAAGUACACCUGUUCUGAUAACCAAGCUGAAAUAAUUUUCCCAAAAAUUGACUAAGUUAGGGUAAAGGGGGAACGGUUGGACAACAUGAAUAGAUGUAUCACCCAAUUUCACUCUGAAGGCAUUAAUGAUAAUUGCCCUUUGAUGAUCAACAUGCUGUAAACUAAUAAUAGAAGGAACAAAACUUUUAAGUAUUCUAACAUGUCGUGUAAGCAUUGAAAGUUAAUAGAGAUAAUUUAGACUACUUGGGGCACUCCAAUACAUGGUUAUAGUAUGUAUCAAGUGGUGACUAGAUUAAAAUUACUUAAGAAGAAAUUGAAGAAGCUACAUCAGUAGCAUUUUAAUAAUAUAAUGCAUGAAGCAGAUGAGGAUAGAGAGACACUUCACCAGGUUCAGGCCUAAUCCAGAUACUAGUAAUGUUAUGAUGCUACGAGAGAAAAGAGAGCUGAAUAUGAAGUUUAGGAGAUCAUCUAGCCUAACUGGAUCCUUCUUGUUACAAGAAGCAAAAAUACAUAGAUUAGACAAGAAAAUGAAUGCACUGAGUAUUUUUUUCUUUGUGAUUAAGCAAAGAAAACUUAUCCAAUCAAUUACUCAAAUUCAAGAUAUGCAAGGGAAGAUGCAAUAUAAACUUGAUAGCAGAGCUGAUAUAUUUUUUUCAGUAUUUUCAAUUCAUACUUAGUGAAUUAGGAGGUUCUAGAAGGAAGGUAAGUGAUGUAGUAUUUGCUCAAGGACAGACCCUCAUAGUUGCUCAACAAUGUGAAAUCUUAAGUCCUUGUAUUGAUAAAGAGAUCAAAGCUACAAAGUUUAGUAUUAAAGAAACUAAGAGCCAAGGCCUUAUGAUUUUAGUAGUGAUUUCUUUUAAGUUGCAUGGGGUAUAGUAGAUGAAAGUGUUUGUCCAGCUAUUACAGACUUCUUUAGAACAAAGGAACUGCUUGCUACCAUGAUCUUAAUGAUUUCUAAAGUGUCUAAUCCUUUGAGUGCUAGACCUAUAGCACAUUGCAAUGUUAUCUACAAGUGUAUUUCUAAGCUUUUGUGUAACAGACUGGUCAAAGUAUUACCUAGUAUUAUUAGUGCUAAUCAGACAGUUUUUUGUUAAAUAUGGGUCCCUGAUUCAUAAUGUGUUGAUGUGCCAUGACUUAUUGAGGCAUUAUAAUAGGAAGACUACUUUAAGAUGUCUCAUGAAGAUUGAUUUGAGGAAAGCAUAGGACAUGGUAUAUUGAGACUUUAUAGAGGAAAUAUUGAAAAGUUAUGGUCUCUCAAUCACGUUCUAUUAAUUGCUUAUAGCUUUUCGUAAAAUUGCCAGAUUCUUUGUGAAAGUUAAUGAUAAAGAAAGUGGCUAUUUUAAAGGUUAGAGAGGGUCGGUAUAGGGUGAUCCUAUCUCACAAUUUCUGUUUUAUCUUAGUUAUGGAGUACCUAACUAGAGUACUGAGUUUAAUGAGCAAUUUACCGGACUUCAAGUUUCAUUCAAUAUCCUAAGACUUGAACGAGCUCACCUUAUAUCUGUUGAUGAUUUGACAAUCUUUUGUAAAGGUCAAGUAGCUUCAGUUAAAGAAUUAUGGAUGCUAUUCAUCAUUUCUCACAAACUACAAGACUGACGGCUAAUAAAAAUAAGCCUAAUCUUCAUGUUUAGGAGUAGAUGAUAUAGUAAGGAAUACUCUAUUGACAUAUACAAUGGAUUUACCUUGGUCACCUUUCCAAUGAAGUAUUUUGAGCCUACCUCUGUCUCCAAAGAAAUGGAGUAAACUUGACUGCCAUUAAUUAUGUUUAAAGAUUACUGAAAAUAUUAGAGUCACUUCAACUAGGUAUCUGUCCUAUGCUGGAAAAGUUCAAUUAUAAACUGUAUUCUUUUUUCUCUUGGCAACUUUUAGGGGCAUGUUUUCAUCCUUCCUCAAAGUAUACUAAAAGAGGUAGAUAGAAAGAGCAAAUUUUUUCUUUGGGGUAGUACUAAGAAUAAAAGGAUAGUGACACUUAUAGCAUGGAGUGAUGUCUGCAAGCCUAGAGCACAAGGUCUUCUUAAUAUUAAAUUUUGCAAAAUCUGAAACAUUUCAGCUGUUGGUAAUUUGAUUUGGAUGAUAUGUCAAUAGAAGGAGGCUCUAUGGGUCAGAUGGAUUCAUGGAGUUUUUCUGAAGUAUGAUGCUUAUUUCUAAAACCAUAAACCUCCAAUUGAUUGCAACUGGUAUCAAAAAACUCUAAAUAAGAUGAAAGCAGGUAUGAUAGGGUGGUAUAGGAAUGGUAAUUUUUGUUUUAACUAUGAUAUGGUGGUAUAGGAAUGAUAAUUUUGUUUUAAAUACUUAUGAUAAAUACUCUGUCAAAAUAAGUUACCCGUUAUGAUUGAAGUAGGAACUUACCUUGACACUGCUGAACUUAUAUGGACCAAAAAUAUGAUACCUAAACAUAGAUUUAUAGUGUGAUUCUCUAAUGAAAAGAAAUUGUUAAUCAAAAGUAGGCUCAACUCUUGGGAGUAUAGUGUGGAAAUACCAGUUUUGUGUUGUGUGAGAAGCCAUGUUUGAAAGAUUUUAAUCAUCUAUUUAUACAAUGUUAAUAUACUAUUUUGCGGUGGAGAACUGUAACUGGUUGGGUAUUUAAAUGCCAUAAACAGACAUCAAAGGUAGUUUAGAGUGGAUCUGGAUCAAGCAAAAAUAUUGGACCAAGCUAAAGAAGGCUAUCGUGACAGUAGUGUAUGUAGCAGUAAUAUACUCAAUUUAACAAGCUAGAAAUUAAAAGAUAUUCAGGUAGUGUAUUGCAAGCAGGCUCUGACUCUUCAUCAAAUAAAGUUGCUUAUUAGAGAAGGAUUAUCAGUUGUGAAGAUAUCCAAAAGGGUAGGAAAGAAUAAAUAUUUGAUAGAGAGAUUGUGUUCUUAGCUUUUGGCCACAUUUCACAUGUUGGGAAUUGUGGUAUGUCUUUAGUUUAGGCUAUUGUUUGUUUUGGUUGUAUUACUCUGAUAAGUUGGUUGAUGCUGGUAAUAAAUUUUUACAAUUUAUUACUAAAUAAAAAUAAAAUUGCAAAUAACUUACAUGUUUAAAGUGUGAAAAAAUUAUCACUAAUAGCCGGUAUAUGCAAUUUUUGUUCAUUUUUUGGCAAUUCAUUACCAAGCAAAACGUUACAAAGCCUAGCAGUUGGCUAAAUUUUUUACAUACUUAAAAAACUCAUCGAUAAUUUUUCUCUGUAUAAAAAAUGCUCUCUCAUUUCUCUAGGUGAUUCGCUACUGACUUCUAUCUGAAUGACUGCAUUGCCAUCGGUAGAGCUUUUCCGACCCCAAAAGGAUUUACUUGAUAAUCCCCCCCCCCCCCCCCAUACCCCUAAAAAACAAAAAAAAAAAAAAACAAUUUCUGAUGACAAGUGGGAGUUGGUUCAAAAACUUAUUUUUCUAAGCUGAGUUAGAUGAUUCCAAGUCAUGGAAUUUAUCCUACAUAUCUAAUACCCUCUAAGGUGCGAAAUUCAAAGCAUAUUAACAUGUCAAUCGUAAGAAUUGAGCAAGGCCAUUUGACACUGUUGAGGAAAAAUUGUCGGAUGUGAGCCUUUAAAUUUGAUCACCUUGCAAGCUAAUUCAUGAUGAGAUAAAUGAAGACGAAGGUAAAGGAGAUAAAGGUGCUCAUAUUAGUCAAUGUUCAAUCCAAGGAGAUACGCGUGACACUGUCGGACUAUAUUGAAACUCUGGUGAGCAAUUUCUCACCGACGAAAAGGAUAAAACUCAAUGUCAAUCAAUAGAUGGGGAGGAUAUAAAUGCAAUUAUGCCAAUAUCCCUAAUUGUUGAUGUUCAAAACAUUUUGAAUUUGGAAAUUAGGUUUUUCAGUCCAAAAUCAUCGAACAAAAGUCAAAACAAAAUUUUGUCAAGUGUUGGAACCUUGAAGUUUUGAUGAAUGACAAUAUGAAUGAAACAAGUUGAUAUGAGUUAAUUCAAUGCAACUGAAAACUUCAAUUUACUGAUCACAUGGGGAAUAGAACAAGUUGAAUUUGAUUCAAACACUUGAUGAUAAGGGAAAACAAGUUUAGUUGAAAAAGGAGUCUUACGUAAAGAAGGAGUUUCACUUCUGAGUAUAUCUUGAAGAGUCUUAUGUGUGGGAGGAGAAAGAUUCUGAUAAAUUAAUAUGUGCUGAUUUAAAGAAUUGGAAUUUGACUACAACACCAAGGAGACAAGCGUUGGAAUUGAAGAAGGAGUCCCACUUGAAGUAGAACUCUAUGCAAUGAGAGUUUUGAUUAGAGGAGUUUGAAAUAAAGAAUGACUCUUUGGAGAGCUGUGCUUAAAUAGAAGAUGCAGCAGUCAGAAUAAUUCACGUACUUAAAAAGCAGAAAAGUACAAUCGACAGAUUGAAUUUACGAAGUGCUACUCAAUCAUUGAAGAAACACGUUGAAGAACCUGGUCCUCAGUACAGAACCCAGCUACGAGUUUUAGCGUUGAUUUUUAGAGUUGUUCAUUGUGUUUGAAUUAUUGAUGUAAUACUAGUUUCAGUGUGUUAUAAACUGAACUAGGAGCUAGUUUUCGAGUUGGAAAAACUCAGAGACUUUGGGAACGCAUACCUUGGGAGGUGUGUGUGUAGUUAGGAAUUAGAGUUUAUAAUUCCUAGUUGUUGAGUUAUAGGGAUUAGAGUUUAUAAUUCUUAUUUGUUGGUUACAAGAGUGUUGUAAUCAGUCGUUGUUGAGGCUCAGAGUUAUUUACUGAAGUUGGGGUUAAAUCCUGUAGAGGUGCAGGUCAUGGUUUUUUUACACCUUUUGAGCCGGGUGUUUUCCACGUAAAAAUCCAUUGUGUUCUUUACUUUUUGUUUUACUGCUUUCGUGGAACACGUCAAGCAACCCGUUCCAUCAAUAGGCAACAGUUAGGCGAAAAUAAAAUAAUCAGUAGGGCACGAAUUCUUAACAAGUGGUAUCAGAGCGAGGUUAUCUUAAAAAGGGCUAGCACCUAAGACAAAGAUCAAUAUGAUGAAUUUCGCACCACCUACCGAUCACAGUGAAGGUCAAUCUACUAUUAGACCUCCACUCUUUGAUGGUUCUCACUUCAUUUGGUGGAAAGCUAGGAUGGAAACAUUUAUUCAAGGCGAAGACUACGAGUUAUGGGAUAGGAUCACUGAUGGUCCUACUAUUUCAAUGAAGUUAGAAGAUGGGAAACAGGUCAAGAAAGUAAGAAGUGAAUUCACUCCUGAUGAUUUAUUGACAUUAAAGAAAAAUGCUAAGGCCAAAAACAUUUUGGUCUGUGGAUUAGGACCUGCUGAAUACAACAGGGUAUCAAUAUGCACCACUGCUAAGCAAAUUUGGGAUGCUCUAGUAAAUGCUCAUGAAGGCACAUCUCAAGUAAGAAAAUUUAGAAUUUCUCUUCUCUUCUCUUCACCGAGUAUGAGGCAUUUAAGAUGAGGGAGGAUGAAACCUUGCAUGAGAUGAUGACAAGGCUUACUGCCUUAACAAAUGUGCUGACCUUCUUAGGAAAAGUUAUAUCUAAAGAAGAAUAAGUCGAGAAGGUACUGGGGGUAUUACCAAAAUCAAAGUGGAAUGUUAAGGUGACUGUAAUCAGGAAAGCAAAUAAGGAUCUUGCAGGCAUGGCCCUGGAUGAAUUAGUGGGGAAUUUAAGAACUUAUGAAAUGGAAAUUGAUGGAACUAAAAUGGUAGCAGCUUGGGGAUUUGACUUAGAUGGAGAUGAAGUUGAUGAAGCAGCACUCAUGGCUCUUGGAGAUUCAGACUUGGAGGAAGAAGAUGAUGCUUCUGAGGUAAGUAUACUUGAACUUAAAGAAAAGUUGCAUUUGUUUUCUAAAACAAAACUUAUUUCCUUGAUGAGUGCACUAAUUGAUGACUUCCAAGAAUCAACUUCUGAUAGGGAUGAGCUAUUCAACAGUCUUGCAAGAAUCAAAUUUGAUUUUAUUGAUUUAGAAGCUUGCAAGAAACUGUUGAACAGGAAAACUGCUCUCUCAAGAAACAGAUUGAGCAACUUGAUUCUUCAAAUGACGAUCUUUAAGUCUGAAGUUCUAAAAUUGACACUCUCUGAAAAAGGAAAAAACACAGUGUAAAGAACAAGAAAAAGUUGAACUUGAAUUGGUCAAGUACAAAGAAGAGUGCAAUAAUGCAACAGAAAUGGUGAAUAAACCGAGUCAAGAAGUCUCUAAACUAAAACUUGACCUUGAGAGAGCAAACAGGUGGACAAAUUCCUCAAGAAUUGUUCAUAAGUUGAGUGAAAGAUAUCACAGUGAAAAAGCUGGGUUGGGUUUUCAUAAAAGUCUUGAUGUUUAUCAAGACUUGUGCUAUAUAUGUGGAAACCUUGGACAUCCAACCACUAAAUGUCCAGUUGCUGCCAAAAGUAGAUCCAGCAGUCUAAAUCUGGCAAAUAAACUAUCUCAGACCAAGAAAAGGAUAANNNNNNNNNNNNNNNNNNNNNNNNNNNNNNNNNNNNNNNNNNNNNNNNNNNNNNNNNNNNNNNNNNNNNNNNNNNNNNNNNNNNNNNNNNNNNNNNNNNNNNNNNNNNNNNNNNNNNNNNNNNNNNNNNNNNNNNNNNNNNNNNNNNNNNNNNNNNNNNNNNNNNNNNNNNNNNNNNNNNNNNNNNNNNNNNNNNNNNNNNNNNNNNNNNNNNNNNNNNNNNNNNNNNNNNNNNNNNNNNNNNNNNNNNNNNNNNNNNNNNNNNNNNNNNNNNNNNNNNNNNNNNNNNNNNNNNUAUUUUUUUUUAAAAAAAAAAAUGAGAAAAGAGGAUGACUGUGAAACUGAUGAGCAUGCACAGGAACAUGUUGUACCACCUGGUUCAACUGUUGUACAGACUGAGGGCAUAUUGACAGGGGAACAACAAAUAAAGAAAUAGAUGCAUCAAUAAAACCAAAGUUGCUGGUAAUUUUGUUAGUAGUUCAUAAAAAUUGAUGUUGUCAAAAUAAUCUUGAGAGAUCUCAUGGGAAUCAAUGGCUUGAGAUUAUGAUAUCCAAAGGAAAACAAUUUCACUCUUGGGGGCUACAACUAUUUGGGUUACUUAAUUGACUGGAGAAACAUCAAAGGCACUAAGUAGAGAGCAUUUUGCAAGGAAUAGGUUAGACUUGAGGAUGAUUAAAAUUGCAUGAACUCCCCUCAAUGAUUGACUAGAAUAAUCAUUUUUCUUUUUAAUCUUAUUAGCUAAAAAGUUAUUCUAUUCAGUCUUGCACAUUUAGUUUGUGUCCCAAUUCCAGAUUUUUGACUUUUCUAACCUAUUUUUGUAUUAGAUUGUGUAGAAAAAUAGGUACAAACAAGCAAUUAUGACCACAAAAUUCUUCUUAUCAGGUAUGUUCUGCACUGACAUAAGCAUAGGCUGUCUAAGUUGAAACAGUUGAGCACACCUGUUUAAUUCCACACACUUCAUCCUCUCAUUGUCUAAUAAAACUAAUGAAUUGUUGGCCAAACUUUCUCUGAUUCUCUCCAAAUGGGUGUGCACAAGUGUGUUAAUCCUAUACCAGAAAUUUCUUUUUCUUUCUCAACCAAAAUAUCAGUUGUGUACCAUGGAUUUGCCAAGCUUGAUCAUCAAUCACAUGCAACAUAUGUUUUUGAAGAAUGAAAAGGGACAUGCUUUCCCUUUUAGUUGCUAAUUGGUAAUUUUUUUUGGGCUUCUCAGUCCUAAAUCAGGUUUGACUUAUAGAAAAAAAUAGAUGUUCUUGAACAGAUGAAUCAUGUUGCUCUACCUGUUUCAAUAAGGAGGACUAAGACUCAUUUGAGAAAAAAAAAUUUCUGAACUAGAAGCUGCAUAAGAUAGCCAUGAAGUGGAAUAAGAGGUCUUUAAGGUUAGGAUCAUGACUUUGAAGCUGGACCUUGAUUGAUAGAGGGAUGAAAAUGUUGAAGUCAUUCAUCAAUUGACACAGUUGAUAUCACCUGUUCCACCUUCCUCAUCAACUCCUCACUAUUUGUAUCCUUAGCCAUGUCCGACUUUUAUAUCGUAUUUUUUUUAAUGCUCAAUUGUUUUGCUUUGUUCAGUACUAGCUUAGGUUUAAUGUGGAACAUGCUCUGUCAGUUAAAUGGAAUGGUUAUCUUUGCUAAAUUGACUCAUAUUUUUGCUCUCUUUAAUACAUUAUUAGGUUGGCUAAAGUCUUUGUUUGAUUGUUUUGGUGAUAGCCCCAGUGGCCAUGAAUAGCAUAACAAAUCACUUUGGCUAAUAUAUUAUUGCAUUGAAAUGGUUUUUCGAUGAUGCCAAAAGGGGGAAGAUAAGAGGGUUGUGUAAUGUUUAUAACCCAUUGACUAACUUAUUCAUUAUAGUGUUUAUACUUUAGUGCCUACAGGUAAAGAUAUUUGGGUGCACAAAGACAAGAGGUUUGUCAUCAUCAAAACGGGAAAUUUGUUGGAACCUUGAAGUUUGAUGAAUGACAAUAUGAAUGAAAUAAGUUGAUAUGAGUUAAUUCAAUGCAACUGGAAACUUCAAUUUACUGAUCACAUGGGGAAUAGAACAAGUUAAAUUUGAUUCAAACACUUGAUGAUAAGGGAAACAAGUUGAGUUGAAAAAGGAGUUUUAUGUAAAGAAGGAGUUUCACUUCUGAGUAUAUCUUGAAGAGUCCUAUGUGUGGGAGGAGAAAGAUUCUGAUAAAUUAAUAUGUGCUGAUUUAAAGAAUUGGAAUUUGACUAGAACACCAAGGAGACAAGAAUUAGAAUUGAAGAAGGAGUCUCACUUGAAGUAAAACUCUAUGCAAUGAGAGUUUUGAUUAGAGGAGUUUGAAAUAGAGAAUGGCUCUUUAGAGAGCUGUGCUUAAAUAGAAGAUGCAGCAGUCAGAAUAAUUCACGCACUUAAAAAACAGAAAAGCACAAUCGACAGGCUGACUUUACGAAGUGCUACUCAAUCACUGAAGAAACACGUUGAAGAACCUGGUCCUCAGUAUAGAAUCCAGCUAAGAGUUUUAGCGUUGAUUUUUAGAGUUGUUCAUUGUGUUUGAACUAUUGAUGUAAUAUUAGUUUCAGUGUGUUAGAAACUGAACUAGAAGCUAGUCUUCAAAUUGGGAACACUCAGAGACUUUGGGAACGCAUACCUUGGGAGGUGUGUGUAGUUAGGAAUUAGAGUUUGUAAUUCCUAGUUGUUGAGUUAUAGAGAUUAGAGUUUACAAUUCUUAUUUGUUGGUUAUAAGAGUUUUGUAAUCAGUCGUUGUUGAGGCUCAGAGUUAUUUACUGAAGUUGGGGUUAAAUCCUGUAGAGGUGCAGGUCGUGUUUUUUUACACCUUUUGAGCCGGGUGUUUUCCACGUAAAAAUCCAUUGUGUUCUUUACUUUCUGUUUUACUGCUUCCGUGGAACACGUCAGUCAACCCGUUCCAUCAAUAGGCAAUAGGCAACAGUUAGACGAAAAUAAGAUAAUCAAUAGGGCACGAACUCUUAACAUCAAGUCAAAGCUCCAAUUCUCAAGUCGAAGUAUUACAACAAGAUCAUAGGAGUACUGUUAUGCCAAAACACCAUGGUACCUUUUAAAUCAAUGAAUUCCAAUUUCAAUAAUCCUACAGUUGCCGAUUUGGGUAUCAUGAUGUUCUGGGGGAUGUGAAUUCUAUUGGUCAAUGUUAAACAUCUAGUUGUUAUAUGGGGAAGGUGAAUUUCACAAAAGGUCCUUCAAAUUAUGCUCAAGGCUUGUGUAAUUUGAAAACUAGGUUUUCAGUUGAAAGUGUCAAUGUUAAUUAUUUUGAUGAAGGAAAUUCUGAUUCUAUAAACUUUGAGGGUGUUAGCAAGACACCAACAGAUGUCAAUUCAGGUGUCUACAAGUUCUUUGUCAAUUCAUUCUCAAAAUGGUGGUAAUGUGUUGAAAGCUAAAGAUACAAACACUGGUAAAAUAGUUUCUAUUGAGAAUAUAUCUCAAAAACAAGCUAUUGAUCAUGGUCAAGGUGGUAGGAAUAAGAAUAAGCAAAAAAUUACUGAGGAACUUCAAAAAACUAUUCCUAAACCUUAUGUGCCUAAUAAUAAAUCAAUGGAAGUUUCCAGCAAAUUUGCUAAGUCUACUCCUGCAGAUCCUAACUUUAAUGAGCUACAUGUGGUUAAUGAUUUUGAUAAAGAAAAAGUUGAGGAUCCUAACGUUGUCUGCAAUAAUCAGACUCAUCAAAGAGAUAAGGCUACAAAGAUUCCUAAUCCUCCUGAUCCUUGGGUUGCUCAUACUGUGGUCACUAAAUUAAGAGCUCAAAAAGCUGUGAAGAUGUCCACAAUUGGAUUACACCUCCAAAGAUUACUACAAAACAUGAGUUGCCAGCAGUGGUGUUCAGGCCUAAGGAUCGAAUGUGAAACUUGCUGAAAAAUACAAGUAUACUCUGAUUGGUAAGCUUACUAACACUAUGCCUAAAAUGGAAAUCAUUAGAAAAUAGUUUAUUUUGCAAAUUGAGCUUAGGGGUGGUGUUAAGUUGAGUCAUUUUAAUGUUAGACAUCUUUCUAUUGAUUUGGUGAACGCGAAUGAUUAUACUACCGUGUGGGCUAAAGGUAAGAUGUCUAUUGAUAGGUAACUGAUGAGGUUACAAUUGUAGACACCUACUUUUAGAUCUGCCGAAGACACCUCUUGUUCCUAUAUGGCUUAUUCUACCCGAGUUACCGUGGCAUGGUUAUUAUAUGAAAGUAUCGUCACCUCUUUUAUCCCUUAUACGAAAAGCUCUGUUCCUUGAUUUAGCAACAUAUAAGAAGACUAGGGGUAGUGUUUCUUAGGUGAAAAUCCAAGUUGAUCUUACCAUGUUUGGAUGGGGUAUGGUGAAGAUGAGAAUGGUGAAGACAUGUGACAGCCUAUACAAUAUGAGGGAGUCUUCAGUAUUAUACUUAUUGAAAGCAUCAAGGGCAUUUAAUCAUGUCUUGUAAUGUUAAGAGUAAUGAUAAUGAGGCAAGAAGAAGCAAAAAAAAUGAAAGAAGCUGAGAAAAAUGUCAAUAUGCAGAAGCAACUUGAUUUUAAUAAUACCACUGGUCCUAGAAAUGAAGAGAGAAAAUCAGCACCUGCAAGACAAAAUGAUCCAGACUCAGCAAACUGAAAUUCAACAACCUCACGCACAAGAUCAGCGGCAAGUAUAAAGAAGAAGAGGUAAAAGAAAUAAUCAGCAACAACAACAAUACAACCAAAAUCGACAAGAGCAGUCUUUUCAACAUCAAGUUUACAAACCUAGAUCACCUUAGCAAAAUACUACAGAUACACAGAAAAAUCAGCUACAACAACAAACAAGUUUAUCUUCUCAACAACAUGAAAAUUAUCCAAAAGAUUAUAAUGUUGAUUCUGGAGUCCGGAAUCAACAACCCCAUCCCCAUGAUGCUAUUAUUAGUUCCGUUAAUCCCACAAUCCCAACAAGAUGAAAGUGUGUAGAAUCUCAACAAAUAAAAUCAAAAUAUUGAUAAAAAUGGCAAUAAGAAAUGGUAACAAUACUUAAGCCAAAAUAAUAUGGUUGCUGAUAAUAUCCCCAAAAAUGGGAUCAUAGUUACCGACUCAAUGAUCCAUCAACCCCACCCAUUUAAUUUAAAUGUGCAAAGUGUGAAAAAGCUCAAUUUUGAGCACAAAAGAGAAGUUGCUGCUGAUAAUUUUCCAAAAAGAAAAUCAUGUGUUGAAUCAAUGCUCCAUUAACUCACUCUAAUAUUUUUAAUGUUUUAUCUAGUGAUGAGGUUUAUGGGGGUGAGACUGGUGUUCAGGAGAAAAUUACUAACUUGCAGAAAGGGGUUACCAAAGUGAAUGGAUUAGAAUUUAGAGCCCCUGUUGCCAUUAUGAAAAACCAACAUAUUGCGGAUGUGAAUUUUUCCACUGAAAAUUUGACUAAAUUGAGUGAUACAGAUCAGUGUACAGAGGUGUAAAUUAAUGGUACCAAGAUGAUGAAAGGGGUUCAGUCUGAAGGUUCAGAAUUUGAUCAAAUUAAUGAGUGGAGUGCAGAUGAUCCUAGUACUCCUAUCAGUGUUUAUUUAGAAGAUGAACAUGAUCCAAUGUAGGGUAAUUCUAUAGAUUAUAGGGUGGGUGAUCUUUCUCAUCCUUUAAGCAAUAAGGCUACAGUUGAUUUCAACAAGAAGAAACGAGAUCAAAUUAAAAAGGGACAAGAUAUGGGUGAUAGCAAUGAUAAAAAUCAACAGCAAGGUGGUAAUAACAAGUUUGUUUUACUGGCUGAGCAAACAGGUUUACAUAUUGACCCUCUACAAGUUAAUGAUCAGAGAGUUGAUAGUCCUAAAUGUUGGAACCCGGGGGGUUGCACCAUACCGUGAGGGAUCAGGUCUCUCAAAAUUAGUCACAGGCAAAAACACAGUAAAUGAAACAGGAACACACUACAGUGCAGGAAAUUUAAAGAACACAAAAUUUAACGUGGAACCCCCUUGCUCAAUGAAGGAAAACCACAACUUACUGUAAUACCCUGCGAUUUUCCUAGCUUAAACUCAUCCCGAAAAAUGUCAAAGAUUAGCUCUUAGAAUGAAUGACAUUUAUUUUUUGUGGAAUUCUUUAGAUUUGAACUUUCCAUGGCGUAUAAAAUUGAAUAAGCUUUCCAACGAUAUAAGAUUCGCUUAAAUCCGAUAACCGAGUAAGAAGUAAUGGCUAUUUUAAGUUCCAGUCGUAAAUCACCGUCAUUUGGACCCUUCGCGCGUCGCGGAGCAGUGUAAAAUCCCAAUUGUCAUUUUCCAGUGGCCCUUCGCGAUAUUGGCGCGUCGCGGAGAGGGUCAAUUUCCCAUUGGUCCAUUUCUAGAGGUCCAGUGCGAUAAUGGCGCGUCGCGCCAUGUGCCAAAAUGGCAUUGCAAAGGGGCACCUCGAUGACCCCACGUCGCAGAGUCUGCCUAGUUCCCAGUUGGCAUUUUCCAGUGGCUUGGCGCGAUUGUGGCGCGACGCCAAAAGUCAGAAUUUUUGGGUCGUUUUCCAGUUUCGAUUUAGAGUUUAAUAGGGGCAUUUUGGUCAAUCCCCAGGGCCCCAAAUCCGUCCAAAACACUUCAUUAAUCAAAUGCUAAGUCACUUUAUGCUUAUUUCAUUACUUUUCUCUUAAAAGUAAACGCUAGUUCAUCAACUUAUUCCCCAAGAAAUCCAAAAUUUCCCUAUUAAUCUUUCAAGGAAAUUCAAGAUUUAGAAUUCUCAAUACAAGAACGCGAAGAAGCCAUCUCCAAAACAUCAAUAGGAAUCCAGGUUCGAGUUCCUUAUCAAAGAUCGUUAAAUUAAGGUAUGUGGGGUUUGAACAAGGACAAUCCGUUAGUCCUUGUGCCCAAAAUUAUGUUUUUCAAUAAAUUUCUUAUGAUUUGAAAUUUGGGGUUUACACCCAUAGUAUCUUAUUGAUGAUUUUGAGUAUGAUAUGAUUGAAUUAUAAAAUCCCAUGUGUAUUUUGAGUUAAAGAAUGCUCUUUUAUGAUUUUGAAUACCAUGAGCAUGAUUUGAAAUAUUGUUGACAACUUUUCAAUUGAAUUGAGCAUGAUAUUGUGAUUUAAAGUCAUUAUCUUGAUAUUAUUGAAGCAUGGACUACUAUCCAAGAUUGAUUAUUGUGAUUUCAAGAAAGUUGAUGCUAUAAGCAUCUUAUGAGCAAGAUUGUUUAUAGUUUCAAUACAGCUUUGAUCUUUUGAUCAUUGGUUUAGCUUUGGAAUCCACAUUAUAUAUCAUUACAACAACAACAACAACAACAAACCCAGUGUAUUUCCACACAGUGGGGUCUGGGGAGGGUAAAAUGUACGCAGUCCAUAUCACUACCUUCGGAGAGGUAGCAAGGCUGUUUCCGAUAGACCCCCGACUCAAGACAAAGAAUAAUAAGCAAAUUCAUAAUACAGCAUGAAAUGAAAUAAUGCGUAAAGAUAUAUAUAUAUAUAUAUAUAUAUAUAUAUCCUAGAGCUUUGCAUUUUAUUCCGAUAGAGAAAACAAGUUGAAUUGGCAUGCCAUGGUGCGAUGACUAAAUUUACAGCUAAACAGUAAAGAUUGCUCUCGUCUUCGAACUUUAAGGUUUUUUAGAGAGAAACAGAAUUCAGUUCACUUCAUACGAGAAUAAUCCUUACAUUAAAAGUAAAGAAAGAUAAAAAAGAAAAAAGCAAGCAUUAAAAGGUUUACCAAGAAAGCAAAGAACCCACCUGAUCGAAGAAACCUCUUUUGGCUGUUUCUUCCCACAAUCGAAGCAUAGAAAGGGCAAUACCACCGGACAAUCCAGAGGCGACUAAAUCUCCUAUGAACAGAUUUUCUGAAAACAUUGUAAAAUCUACAACUUUAAUCCUCGUGCUCGGGUGUAAUCUUCUGGUUUUAAGCUUUUGGAAUCCCAAAUUAACCCCUUUCUUACUGCAGAAGAGAGAAUACAUUAUAUAUUAUUACAAUUUACAAAAACUCAGAACAGUUUUGUUCACAAACUUACUAAAGUUAGUGCAUAAAUGGUUUUUCAUAUAAAUCCUUAUGCUAGCUUUAAGAGUGAAUUUCCAAUGGUUUUCAGCAUAUAGAUCUUAAAGGGAGUAGUAUUUAGCACCGAGCGGGAAGUAUGAGAUUAGCGUGCCCUAUCUUGCACAGAACUACGUAGCCAACGUAUGUACAACUCAGAUUAUUUCCAUUUAUAUGGAUGACAGAUUUAGCUUGUGAUCAAUCACAUGGAUUAGGUUAUACUCCCUGGCAAGAGUAUGACACCUCUCCCCAACGUGAGGUUUCCUUCUUAGGAGGUCAAGACGUUGGACUCCCUACUAGUAAAAGAUAUACAACUUUUUAGAUAAAGUAUUUUCCCUAAAGCUUUGAAAGAAUCCCCUUGCAGAAUAAGUUUUCAGAUAUGAUUUGAGAACAAGAACAGUUAUAGAUUUUAGAACUAAGUGUAAUGACUCACAAGAUUCUUACUACAUGCUUUACUAUUCAUGAUUUAUGAUAUUUAGAUUUCAGAUUUACUCAAGCUAUGUGAGUCAUUUACAUUUAGCAUGCAUGAUUUGAUAAAAUGUGAUGAUAUUAUUUACUUAUUGUAUGCACCCCUAUAUACUCAGUACAUUCUUAAAGUACUAAUUCACAUAUACGUCUAUGUGCUACAUUGUCUCAUAAUGUAGGUUCAGGUGCUCAGUCUCAGCAUCGACAGUGAUUUCCGAGCAUCUCAUCUAUAUCCUGCAGUUGGUGAGUCCUCAUAUUUUGGGGACUUAGCUAUUCAUGUUCUCAGUUUAUUAAUAGAUAUUUCAGUUUAGUCCAAGUCAGCUGGGGCCUGUCCCAGUGACUCUCUAGAUUCAGUUAGUAGAGGCUUGUCGGACUACCAGAUUCAGUCUUAGAUCUUAUUUGUCGUAUUCAGACUUUUAGUAUUUGUUUAAUCCGAUUGAUGAGAUUAGUAAUUUCAGAUAUAUUCAGAUUAUUCAGAUAGUUUUUC
rnacentral:lncRNA from 1 species